UACGAAGGGGGCUAGCGUUGCUCGGAAUCACUGGGCGUAAAGGGCGCGUAGGCGGCGUUUUAAGUCGGGGGUGAAAGCCUGUGGCUCAACCACAGAAUGGCCUUCGAUACUGGGACGCUUGAGUAUGGUAGAGGUUGGUGGAACUGCGAGUGUAGAGGUGAAAUUCGUAGAUAUUCGCAAGAACACCGGUGGCGAAGGCGGCCAACUGGACCAUUACUGACGCUGAGGCGCGAAAGCGUGGGGAGCGAACAGG
rnacentral:rRNA from 1 species